rnacentral:rRNA from 1 species
ACAGAGGGGGCAAGCGUUGUUCGGAAUUACUGGGCGUAAAGGGCGCGUAGGCGGCCUUCUAAGUCGAACGUGAAAUCCCUCAGCUUAACUGGGGAACUGCGUCUGAUACUGGUCGGCUUGAGUGCAGGAGAGGAACGCGGAAUUCCAGGUGUAGCGGUGAAAUGCGUAGAUAUCUGGAGGAACACCGGUGGCGAAGGCGGCGUUCUGGACUGCAACUGACACUGAUGAACGAAAGCCAGGGGAGCAAACGGGA